UAAAGAUUGCUCUAUGCACUUGUAAUCAGAGUAAUGGAAGUAUAAAAUAUUAAUGACUAGGGGCCAAGAGAGGUGCGGGCCGGGCACCGCGGCCGCGGCCAUGGAGAAGCUGCGGUGGGUCCUAGGUGGCCAGGACGAUGAGGAGCAGGGCCUGACCGCGCAGGUGCUUGAUGCCUCGAUGCUUAGUUUCAACACCAGGCUGAAGUGGUUUGCUAUAUGCUUCGUCAGUGGCAUCUUCUUCUCCAUCCUUGGAACUGGAUUGCUGUGGCUCCCUGGAGGCAUAAAGCUUUUUGCAGUGUUUUAUACCUUUGGAAAUAUUGCUGCAUUAGCCAGUACAUACUUUUUAAUGGGACCCGUGAAACAACUAAAGAAAAUAUUUGAAACAACGAGACUGCUUGCAACAAUUAUUAUGCUCCUGUGUUUCGUGCUCACCCUGUGCGCUGCCCUUUGGUGGCAUAAGAAGGGGCUGGCCGUGUUAUUCUGCAUAUUGCAGGUAUAAUCUGUCAUACAUCCCAUAUGCAUGGGAUGCAGUAAUUAAGUGCUGUUCUUCUCUCCUGAGCUGAAAGCUGUUUGAAAAUAAGGAAACUGUUUGAAAAGACCUUUUAAAAGUUGAUGUUCUGUUUUUGGUGUGGUGUGCUUUUCCUGAUACAGUGAUCACUCCAGAACAACUGCACCGACCAUCUAAGCCCAUUUUGUAUACUGGUAAAACUACGUACCCAUUAAACUGUUAAAUGCUUGUGACAGAAAAUUCAUUAUGUGCCAUUAAUACGCUCCGUCAGAGACGAUGAGAUUUUAAUCAUUGCUAAGUGUAAAUGAUUUUUAGCCAGUUUUUAAAUCUUUUUUCUAAACAGCAUUUGAGAUGUGAAUAUUUAAGGAUAAACCUACACUGCAAGAUAUAUUCAGCUUUUUUGGUGGUUUUUAAGGGUCUACAUUUUUAAAAUAUGUUUUUAAAAUAAAAACUUUAAAUGUGAAAGCUUUUACUGUAAACUAAACUGCUUUAUUGUAUGUAAUAAAAAUAAUAUAUAAAUCUUCAUAAUUUUAAAAUAAACCCACACUUGGAAAAAA